rnacentral:rRNA from 1 species
AUUGAACGCUGGCGGCAGGCCUAACACAUGCAAGUCGAGCGAGCGGCGGACGGGUGAGUACUGUCUGGGAAACUGCCUGAUGGAGGGGGAUAACUACUGGAAACGGUAGCUAAUACCGCAUACCAUCAGAUGUGCCCAGAUGAGCUUAGCUAGUAGGUGGGGUAACGGCUCACCUAGGCGACGCUCCCUGGCUGGUCUGAGAGGAUGACCAGCCACACUGUAACUGAGACACGGGCCAGACUCCUACGGGAGGCAGCAGUGGGGAAGAUUGCACAAUGGGGGAAAGCCUGAGUCAGCCAUGCCGCGUGUGUGAAGAAGUCCUUCGGGUUGUAAAGCACUUUCAGCGGGGAGGCGUUACCCGCAGAAGAAGCACCGGCUAACUCCGUGCCAGCCGCCGCGGUAAUUC